AGGUUGAUAUUCCUGUACCACCUAGUAUCGUUUUAAUCGAUGGGGGGACGCAGUAGGAUAGGCGAAGCGUGCUGUUGGAGUGCACGUCCAAGCAGUAAGGCUGAGUGUUAGGCAAAUCCGGCACUCGUUAGGCUGAGCUGUGAUGGGGAGAGGAAAUUGUUUCCUCGAGUCGUUGAUUUCACACUGCCGAGAAAAGCCUCUAGAUAGAUAACAGGUGCCCGUACCGCACACCGACACAGGUAGUCAAGAUGAGAAUUCUAAGG
rnacentral:rRNA from 1 species